UUCCGACCUGAGCUCAGGUGUGAUUACCUGCUGAA
rnacentral:rRNA from 1 species